AUUCCAGCUCCAAUAGCGUAUAUUAAAGUUGUUGCGGUAAAAAAGCUCGUAGUUGGAUUUCUGUUGAGAACGACCGGUCCACACAACGUGUGCGCAUCUGGUUCGGUCUCGGCAUCCUCUCGAAAGACGACUCUGCGCUUGAUUGCGUGGAUCGGAUUCCGGGACUUUUACUUUGAGGAAAUUAGAGUGUUCACGGCAGGCUAUCGCCAGGAUACAUUAGCAUGGAAUAAUACUAUAGGAUCUUAAUCCUAUUUUGUUGGUUUCUAGGAGCAAGAUAAUGAUUAAUAGGGACAAUUGGGGGCAUUCGUAUCAACACGUCGGAGGUGGAAUUCUUGGAUUGUGUUGCGACGAACUACUGCGAAAGCAUUUGCCAAGGAUGUUUUCAUUG
rnacentral:rRNA from 1 species